rnacentral:rRNA from 1 species
CGCAUCUGUGCAUGCAGCAUAUCAAUAAGCGGAGGAAAAGAAACUAACAAGGAUUCCCCUAGUAACGGCGAGUGAAGCGGGAAGAGCUCAAAUUUGAAAUCUUAAAGGGUUUCCCUUUACGAAUUGUAGUUUAAAGAAGUGUUUUCUGUUGAGGUUUUGGUAAAAGUUCUUUGGAAUAGGACAUCAUAGAGGGUGAGAAUCCCGUAUUUGACCUUUACUUUCAACUUUGUGAUACACUUUCAAAGAGUCGGAUUGUUUGGGAAUGCAGUCCAAAAUGGGUGGUAAAUUUCAUCUAAAGCUAAAUAUUGGCGAGAGACCGAUAGCGAACAAGUACCGUGAGGGAAAGAUGAAAAGAACUUUGAAAAGAGAGUUAAACAGUACGUGAAAUUGUCAAAAGGGAAGCGUUUGACACCAGUGUUGUUUUUCUGAAAAUCAAUUAAAGAACUGUUUAUGCUAAGCUGUUUAGACUUUAUCAGCUAUCUGUUUAGUUUUGAGCUUUUCUUUAAUGCACUUUUCAGUUAACAAGUCAACAUCAAUUUCUUUUGCUGUAAAAAAGCUUGAGGAAGGUGGCUUGAGAUUCGUCUUAAGUGUUUAUAGCCUCUUGCCUAUGCAGUCGGAGAGAUUGAGGUCUGCAGCGUAGAUCCUUCGGGGCUAAAUGCAUUUGUGCUAAGUUAUAGCAUUUUAUAGACAACUUGUUGACUAUGAUUUGUCUUGUAGCUUACUCGCUUAUCGUUAUUUUACCUACGCUUAGGAUGUUGAGUCAUCACACAUCUC